rnacentral:lncRNA from 1 species
ACUCUCAUCUAAAGGAUUCUGACACAUACAGAUGAACUGACAUGUCCUAUGGCUAGAAUGGAAUGUGAAUCUUGCUAAUCUCGCUACUUCAGAGAAGGCAUGGGGAGGAGAGGUGGCCGAUUUCACUGUAGUCUUGGUUAUGUCUUCAGCCAGUUGGGACUGCUGGGAGAACCGUGUCAUCUUUCUGAGUCCUAGUGUACUUGUACGUCAAAUGAGAGAGGCGAAGAUCCUUAUACCCAUUGUCAAGAUAGGGGAAAUGGAGUCACCGUGUGACUGUGUAAUAUGCUUGAGUUACUGCUAAUGGCUCUGGGAUCCACAGUGAGUUAGCCACUGCUUUGGAAUACAAAUCUGACAUCCACGACGCCUAACUCCUGCCUUUCCACCAACUGUCACUCAAGUUUCAUCUCAAAAUCUCCAUAUCAAUCCCCAUUUUCAUGUCAUCUCUAUUCACACCUACCCUUGGCAAGAUUUCGUUAGUGUCGUGUGUGAAUUCCACAUGACUGUGGAAGGUGAGCAAAUCACAGAGAUAAGGAAAACAGGGAAAAAGUUUUUUGAGACUCCACUUACAUUCUUUGGACAUUCCCACUUCAAAGCACUUCUGGAGUCGACAGUAUUGGCAUCGAUUCCUGGUGACUUUAUUAAUAACACAGUUCUUAUCUCGGUGACAAGUGUAAAUCAUAUUCUUCUGAAUACUUCUGCGGAAAAAGCCCUGCAAGCAAGCAAGAAGAUGAAAAAACUCAGUAAAGCAAAUGAGCUUCAUCAGAAAUCAAAGCCAACCUUAUCAAUGCAUUAAUUGCUCUUUUUGAGUAACGAAGUGAUGGCAGCAGAAAAGUUAACUUACAUAAACCUUAAAAUCCUCGUGAGAUAUCAAUAGUUUCUUCCUUUGUUGCAAACCCAAAAGCCCCUUUUAAUCAAAACUAGACAUGACCAUUAUUAUCUUGCUAAAGGAAAGUUAAUUCCAAGCUGAUUUACUUGGAAAACACCAGAGUUGGGUUCCCUCCAAACAGGCUUAGCUUCAUAACUGGCUCCCUUGCUGACGAGAACAAUUUCAGAUGAGCGCACUACCAAGAAAACCAAUAUAUGAGGAUUUUUACCCAAUAAAAGAAAUUACUGGCUGGGUGCAGUGGCUCACUCCUGUAAUCCCAGCACUUUGGGAGGCUGAGGCAGGAGGAUCAUUUGAGGUAAGGAGUUUGAGACCAGCCUGGCUAACAUGGUGAAACCCUGUCUCUACUAAAAAAUACAAAAAUUAGCAGGCACAGUUGUGCGUGCCUGUAAUCCCAGCCCUUGGGAGGCUGAGGCAGGAGAAUUGCGUGAACCUGGGAGGCAGAGGUUGCAGUGAGCUGAGAUUGUGCCACCGCACUCCAGUCUGGGUGACAGAGUGAGACUCUGUCUCAACAACAACAACAACCAAAAAAAAAAAAAAAAAAAAAAAAAAACAAGAAAAGAAAGAAAAAGAAAUUAUUUGCCUAAUGCAAGAGUUAGUUUUUUCAAAGGAGUCUUCUCUGAGUUCUUUUACAUAGCUCCUCUCACAACAUUUAAAAUACAAUUUAAAAAAAUUAUCCAAAAUUGGAAACAAGAAAUAAAAAUGAGUGUCUGCCCAUUUAAUGGCAUGUUAGAGCUAUGUCGUCCAACAUGGUAGCUAUUAGUCACAUGAGGCUACUUAAAUCAAAAUUAAUGAAAAGUAAAUAAAAUUAAGAAUUCAGUUCUUUAGUUACAUUAGCUACAUUUCAAAUGCUGAAGAGCCACAUCUGGCCCAUAGCUACCAUAUUAAACACCACAUAUACAAAAUAUUUUCAUCAUUGCAGAAAGCGUUACCGGGUAGUAAUGUACUACAGCACUGACUGACAAGCCCAUCGAAGUGUCAUCUAACACUCACAGGAAAUAUAACUUUGUUUGACUUACUUUUUACUAUUGAUUGGACCCAGAUUCUAUACAGACUGUAGAAAAUUGGUAAAUUACACAUAAUUUUUGUCUAGUGUAGGUGCAAAACAUUUCUGACCAGAUGAACAAUAACCCCAAAUAUUAUUGUUUUAUUGCCCUGUAGGAAAUGAACCAUUUUGUAUCUAGCUUUGCAAUCUUAUUCCGGUAUUCUCUUUUCCUUCCCUCCUUUCUCUCUCGUUUUCUAUCUACCUGAAUAUCUUUCUCAUAUCCUCCUUUAAACCAGCUUUGUCAUCCUACUAUUCCCUUCAUCAAUGAGUUAAAUAAAUUUUUGGCAUGUGUUUACUAAACAAACACUUGAAAGAGUUUUUUGCUUUUUAACUUUUUGAAAAUCACAUUUUGACAAAAGAAGCAAUUUAUCCUGAUUUUCUGGGAAACACCGAUGAAAUAAAGCAGACUUCAGGCUCCAGAAGAAAGGGUCCCCAACUUCCUCUUUGUCUUCCCCGUUUCUACAUACAGCUUUGCAGACAAUGGAUGAUCAAGUGAUGCUUGCCGAAUACACAGAUGAAGGGUAUACCUGCUGCCUUUUCUCUCUUCUGAAUGCCCAAGAAAAACUUCCACAUUGCUAUGAGUAUUAAGAGUGAGGAAGUCUACUUUACCAGUUGUGAUGUGACUUAUACCUACACGAGAAACUACUCUCUUGAAUGUAAGAAACACAUCAUCAAAUGUGUUGAACAGAAACUAAGCCCCACCAUCUGAGUUCAACUUUCCCUGCAGUACAUUAACACUGCAGGAGCCAGAGCUAAGAACGUUCAAAGCUAAAGCACAUUAGCAAAGAAUGCUCAUGUAACACACAUUGCUUAGGAUACUUACGUGGGCACCCUAGGAUUUUAAUGUCUAAAUAAGCAUAUUUUUACUGGCAUGGUUCAACUAUAAGUGCCUGGAAAUCUUGUUUAAGGUUGCAAGUCCUGUCACAUAUCCCAGACACACACAUUUUCCAAGAAAACACAGUUUAUUUUUGUGCCACUGGAACUACAAAUGUGCUUAGAAUCUAAAAUAACAGGUUACAAAUACUGUGAAAUCCUCCCAGAAUCUGUGCAGAGUGGUCAUCUAAAAACAUAUCUUUCCCUACAAAAAAUAUAACUGUGGGCCACUUUCUGCUGCCAGAUGUAGAAACUCAGUUUACAGAAACCUCCAUCGCUCUUCUGCCGAGAAACAUUAACACAAUGGAAAACAUGGUCUUUUAUAUACGUGGGAAGAAAAUGAGGUAUGGACAAAGGUGACCCCCUCCAUUUAUUUUAUUAAAAACCAAAUUUUUAGUUCAGCAAACACUUAGUCAGUGACCAGAAAGGAGAGAAGAACAAUCUCACGAUGCUCAAAUGAAAGAAGACCAGAGAAUUAAAGAACUUUAUGUCACUAAUUGCCCAGUCAGUGUGAUUCAGUAACAAUGAUGGCAGAAACUAAAUAGGACUUCUUGGUUUUCCAAAUCAGAUUUUUGGCUGGAUUUCAGGAGAAGGUCUAAGUUUCAGUAAAUCAUUUCCACCAUGCUAGAAUACUUGCUGGCUAAAAUAUAUGCUAUGAGGUAUUUUUAUACGUGGGUUGAGUAAACAGACGUGCCCUCCAAGCCGAAUAGAGGUUUGCAUCAUAAAAAUUCUCCUCCUCCUUCAUUGAUAUUAUGAGUUUAUACAAACCUCACUCCCUUGUAGACCACUGCUUUGAGGACCCAGAGUGUGUGGCGGGUAGGGGGUGGGGGCAGUUAUCCUCAUACACCUAAAGUUUACUUAGCUAAUAUUUCAAUUUAGGUUGACUCCUCCUUCUAUUUUUGACACUAUUUAAAGUGGAAACCAUUUAUCUCUGGCUUACUUGGAAAACCAGACCAACUGUCAAUAUUAGAAGGUACUCAUGAAAUAAGAGAAAUGCAAAUAAUACAAUAAUCAGAUGUCAUUUCACUCAUACUGGACACUGUGUCUGCUGCAGGCCAGGAGCCCCAGCCCUCCUCACUUCUUGCUGAAAAGGGAGCUUGGCCAGCAUGAGACACACAUCAGCACUGACUCAAGAUUUUCUGUUUGAGGAAUUCAGAGAAAAAAAAUAAGCUUCUUACUAUGUGACUGAUUUAAAGCCAUGGAUCUUUCCCACCUAAAAUUAGAACCCCCAAACUUCAGGACAAAGUUUGGGACAGUUAUUGAAGCCAAGGGAUGGUUAGACACAUCUGGAGAAGAGGAGGUUCAAAAGUUGAGCGUGUACAGAGGAUGAAUUCAGUCCCAUUUGGAGGAGCAACCUGAGAGGAGAGAGUGGAGGUAGCAUAGGUCGAGCCCUGGAUUAGGAGUUGAACGCCUGGGCUGCAAGCUCCUCAUGGUCACUGAGAGGACUUGAGCAAGUCACAACCAUCUGGGACUAAGCUCUCUCUUCCCCUGAAUGAGGGAUUGGGCAGUUUACUUGGAAGGUCCUCUCCAGCCACAAAUUUCUGGGAUUCCAAGUGUGUCAUCACACCAGGAAGUGAUGAGUUGGGUACCUAGAGAGUGAGACUUGGGGAGUUUCUGCGGGCAAAGAAAUUGGCGAAAGAAGAGGUGGUAUUUUGGCGAAAGAAGAGGUGGUAUUUGCAGACUAAGGAAAGAGAGACUGUCUAUCUGCAUGGGCAAGAAUAGCAACUUCUGGAAACCAGCCUGUGGCUUAAAGGACACCAUCAUGAGGGCUUUUAUAUUCAUCUUAGAACUGAGUCAUCGUAACACCUCUGAGGGCCUCAGGCAGGUAUCUGUGCUGCACUGAAGUUGGAAUGUUUCAAUACUAUCCCAAGAGAUUGUGGCUAGAAGUCUUAAGACCUGGUUUUCGGCCAGGCGCGGUGGCUCACCCCUGUAAUCCCAGCACUUUGGGAGGCCAAGGUGGGCGGAUCACCUGAGGGUCGGGAGUUCGAGACCAGCCUGACCAACGUGGAGAAAGCCCGUCUCUACUAAAAAUACAAAAUUAGCCAGGCAUGGUGGCGCAUGCCUGUAAUUCCAGCUACUCGGGAGGCUGAGGCAGGAGAAUCGCUUGAACCCGGGAGGCAGAGGUUGCAGUGAGCUGAGAUUGUGCCACUGCACUCCAGCUUGGGUAACAAGAGUGAAACUCCGUCUCAAAAAGCAAACAAACAAACAAAAAAACAACACCUGGUUUUCUGCUACCAACUCUGGAACUGCUGACACCGUAAUGGUACUCUUUCAUUUUCUGGGAACUUCCUUUUCUCAGUAAACCCAGGAAAAUUCUAUGAGGUCACUUGGCCAGGAAGCCUUCUCUGACUGAUCUAAGCAUACAUGGAUGCUUCCUCUCCUAGGCAAUCAUGGUAUUUUGCUUUUCCUUCCAUGUUAUACCUAUUCAAGGAUGAUACUUAAAGUCUAAAACAAUACCACUGUCUGCUUUAGAGGUUACAUAGGUGACAUGGGGGAAUGCCAACCUGUGGCUGGUGGCCCCAGCCUCAGGGAGCCCAAUAGGCACUGUGCAUUUAUCCAUUAAGGUGUCUCAGUGCCAUCAAGUGUGCCACCUUCCUUGCCGAUACUCAUGCCUCCCUGACAGGGGAGUAGGAUAGGUAUAAAGGCUGGUUCCUAGGAACCUGAGCUGACAAGUUGGUGGACUCAAGGUGGCCUCCAGGCAGUGCCAAAUAUGACACCCCUGGAACUAAGACAGUACAGUUGGAUGGAGGAAGGGAAGACCCAAGGCAACGGUCAGGCAAAAACUGGCAGGAAAAUGUUUCAAUUUUUCAACACCUAAUAAAUUGUACUGGGACACACCAGCUGAAUAGCUCAGGGCUGGGACAGAACCCAACACACAGAAGAUAUUCAAAUAAUAAUUGUUGACUAACAACUGUUAGUCAAUUGUAAUUGUAAUUGUUGAUGAAGUCCUAGCUAUAACCAGAGCCAUAGUAACCGUCUUGGAUUAUACCUUAGUUUCUUAAAUGUAUUCCUUGAGGGUGAUAUCAUUUGUAUUUACGCAAUUAAACAAUCAGAUUUCUCAGCUGUUAGUAGCAGAC